GAUGAACGCUGGCGGUAUGCUUAACACAUGCAAGUCGAACGGACUCUUCGGAGUUAGUGGCGGACGGGUGAGUAACGCGUGAGAAUCUGGCUUUGGGUUCGGGACAACCACUGGAAACGGUGGCUAAUACCGGAUGUGCCGAGAGGUAAAAGAGAAAUUGCCUGAAGAUGAGCUCGCGUCUGAUUAGCUAGUUGGUGAGGUAAAGGCUCACCAAGGCAGCGAUCAGUAGCUGGUCUGAGAGGAUGACCAGCCACACUGGGACUGAGACACGGCCCAGACUCCUACGGGAGGCAGCAGUGGGGAAUUUUCCGCAAUGGGCGAAAGCCUGACGGAGCAAUACCGCGUGAGGGAAGAAGGCUCUUGGGUUGUAAACCUCUUUUCUUAGGGAAGAACAAAAUGACGGUACCUAAGGAAUCAACAUCGGCUAACUCCGU
rnacentral:rRNA from 1 species